rnacentral:rRNA from 1 species
UACGUAGGGCGCAAGCGUUAUCCGGAAUUAUUGGGCGUAAAGAGCUCGUAGGCGGUUUGUCGCGUCUGCCGUGAAAGUCCGGGCUCAACUCCGGAUCUGCGGUGGGUACGGGGCAGACUAGAGUGAUGUAGGGGAGACUGGAAUUCCUGGUGUGGCGGUGAAAUGCGCAGAUAUCAGGAGGAACACCGAUGGCGAAGGCAGGUCUCUGGGCCACUACUGACGCUGGAGAAGCGAAAAGCAUGGGGGAGCGAACAGG